AGGGAUCAUUACAAGUGACCCCCGGCUCCGGCCGGGGAUGUUCAUAACCCUUUGUUGUCCGACUCUGUUGCCUCCGGGGCGACCCUGCCUUUUGGCGGGGGCCCCGGGUGGACACAUCAAAACUCUUGCGUAACUUUGCAGUCUGAGUAAAUUUAAUUAAUAAAUUAAAACUUUCAACAACGGAUCUCUUGGUUCUG
rnacentral:misc_RNA from 1 species